rnacentral:rRNA from 1 species
ACAGCAGUCGCCACGGGAAUACGAAGGGGGCUAGCGUUGCUCGGAAUGACUGGGCGUAAAGGGCGCGUAGGCGGCUGACACAGUCAGAUGUGAAAUUCCUGGGCUCAACCUGGGGACUGCAUUUGAGACGUGUUGGCUUGAGUGGAGAAGAGGGUCGUGGAAUUUCCAGUGUAGAGGUGAAAUUCGUAGAUAUUGGAAAGAACACCGGUGGCGAAGGCGGCGACCUGGUCUUUAACUGACGCUGAGGCGCGAAAGCGUGGGGAGCAAACAGGAUUAGAUACCCCAGUAGUCCCUGUCUCUUAUAU